rnacentral:rRNA from 1 species
AGAUUGAACGCUAGCGGGAUGCUUUACACAUGCAAGUCGAACGGCAGCGCGGACUUCGGUCUGGCGGCGAGUGGCGAACGGGUGAGUAAUGUAUCGGAACGUGCCUAGUAGCGGGGGAUAACUACGCGAAAGCGUGGCUAAUACCGCAUACGCCCUACGGGGGAAAGGGGGGAUCGCAAGACCUCUCACUAUUAGAGCGGCCGAUAUCAGAUUAGCUAGUUGGUGAGGUAAAGGCUCACCAAGGCCGCGAUCUGUAGCUGGUUUGAGAGGACGACCAGCCACACUGGGACUGAGACACGGCCCAGACUCCUACGGGAGGCAGCAGUGGGGAAUUUGGACAAUGGGGGAAACCCUGGAUCCAGCCAUCCCGCGUGUGCGAUGAAGGCCUUCGGUUGUAAGCACUUUUGGCAGGAAGAAACGGAC